rnacentral:rRNA from 1 species
GAUGAACGCUGGCGGCGUGCCUAAUACAUGCAAGUCGAGCGAACAGACGAGGAGCUUGCUCCUCUGACGUUAGCGGCGGACGGGUGAGUAACACGUGGAUAACCUACCUAUAAGACUGGGAUAACUUCGGGAAACCGGAGCUAAUACCGGAUAAUAUAUUGAACCGCAUGGUUCAAUAGUGAAAGACGGUUUUGCUGUCACUUAUAGAUGGAUCCGCGCCGGAUUAGCUAGUUGGUGAGGAAACGGCUUACCAAGGCGACGAUGCGUAGCUGACCUGAGAGGAUGAUGAGUCACACUGGAACGGAGACACGGUCGCGACUCCUGCGGGAGGCAGCAGUGGGGAAUAGUGGACAAUGGGCGAAAGCCUGAUACAGCUAUGCCGCGGGAGUGACGAAGGUCUUCGGAUUGUAAAGCACUUUAAGGUGGGAGGAAGGGAAGUAAGUGAAUACCUUGCUGUUUUGACGUUACCAAAAGAAUAAGCAACGGCUAACUUCGUG